rnacentral:rRNA from 1 species
AUGCCGGCCACCGUCCACCUCGCGCCGCUUCCCCAUCGCGCACAGCCACACGCAAGCAAGCCUCCUCCGCCGCCGGUGAAGCCCGUUGCCCCGUCGCUCCCGCAAUGGAACGCCCUCCUCGCCGACCACUCCCGAGCCGGCCGCCAUGCCGCCGCCCUCGCGCUCCUGCCCCCGCUCCUCGCCGCCUCAGAGGGCCUCGCUCCCGACAGGUUCACGCUGCCUCCCGCCGCCAGGUCCUGCGGCUUCCUCCGCGGCGGGGCCGCGGCCGCGGGGCGCCAGGUCCACGCGCUCGCCGCCAAGCUCGGCCUGCCCGGCGACCCCUUCGUCGGCAACUCCCUCGUCUCGAUGUACGGCCGGUGCGGCCGCGUCGAGGACGCCGAGAAGGUGUUCGGCGGAAUUCCGGAUGCGUCCAGGAACCUCGUGUCCUGGAACGCGCUCAUGGCGGCCCUCUCUGGUGACCCGCGGCGCGGCCUGGAGCUUUUGCGGGACUGCCUGGUGGCGCUUGGCGGGAUGGUGGACGAGGCGACGCUGGUGACGGUGCUCCCAAUGUGCGCCGCGCUCGGGUGGUCGGAGACGGGCAGGGCGGUGCACGGCAUCGCGGCCAAGUCCGGCUGGGACGCGGCGGCGCGGGUGGGCAACGCGCUUGUCGACAUGUACGCCAAGUGCGGCGAGCUCGCGGACGCCGAGCGCGCGUUCCCAGAUGCUCCGUCCGUCGUGUCCUGGAACGUGAUGCUCGGCGCGUACGCGCGGAACCGCGAGGCCAGCGCGGCGUUCGGGCUGCUGCGAGACAUGCAGAUCGAAGAACACGGCAGCGUGCCGGCCGACGAGAUCACCAUGCUGAGCGUCCUGCCGGCGUGCUCCGGGCCGCCGGACCUGGCUAGGCUGAGGGAGCUGCACGCCUUCACCGUUCGGAGAGGCCUGGAUGCCACCGGCGACAAGGUGCCAAACGCGCUGGUGGCAGCCUACGGGAGAUGCGGGCGCCUGCUCCAGGCCGACCGCGUCUUCGCCGGCAUCCGGAGCAAGACGGUGAGCUCGUGGAAUGCACUCAUCGGUUCCCACGCGCAACAGAACAGCGCGGCCGCGAUCGAGCUGUUCAUUCAGAUGACCAAUGCCUGCGGGCUGAAGCCUGACGGGUUCAGCAUUGGGAGCUUGCUCAUGGCAUGUGCCGAUCCGAAGCACCUGCUCCAUGGCAAGGCUACCCAUGGAUUCAUCCUCAGGAAUGGGCUGGAGAAGGACCCUAUCAUCCGGGUCUCGCUCCUCUCGGCUUACAUCCGAUGCAGCAGGACGGAGCCUUUGGCUCGAGUGCUGUUCGAUGCAAUGGAGGAAAAGGGUGAGGUUUCAUGGAACGCCAUGAUCGCCGGGUACUCGCAGAACGGGCUACCCGGUGAGUCACUCCAGCUCUUCAGGGAGAUGCAAUCCAUGGAAGGCCAUUGUUCAUCAAUGAUUUCAGCAACAAGUGCCUUGAUGGCCUGCUCAGAGUUAUCAGCUGUUCGAUUAGGGAAGGAGAUGCACUGCUUUGCCCUGAAAGCUGACCUAUGCGAGGACCCGUUUCUAUCGAGCUCAGUGAUCGACAUGUACUCGAAGUGCGGAUUUGCGGACGAUGCCAGGGCGUUCUUUGACCGGUUGAAGGCAAGAGACGCAAAGGUGUCAUGGACGGUGAUGAUCACCGGGUACGCCGUCAAUGGUUUGGGCAAAGAAGCUGUUGAGCUGUAUGGCAAGAUGAGGAGGGAGGGGGUGGAACCUGAUGAAUUCACCUACCUUGGCCUACUGAUGGCAUGUGGCCAUGCCGGGAUGGUGGAGGAGGGGCUGCAUUUCUUUGAGGAGAUGAGAAACCAUCAUCACAUAAUAGAACCGAAGCUAGAGCACUAUGGCUGCGUCAUCGGCAUGCUGAGCCGGGCAGGGCGCUUCGCCGACGCGGUGGCGCUCAUGGCGGAGAUGCCGCAGGAGCCGGACGCCAAGAUACUGAGCUCCAUGCUCUCAGCCUGCCACAUACAUGGAGAAGCAGAGCUGGGAAGCGAGGUCGCUGACAGGUUGCUUGAGCUUGAACCCGACAAGGCCGAGCACUACGUCCUUGCCUCCAACAUGUACGCCGGGUCUGGGUGGUGGGAUGAGAUGAGGAAGGUGAGGAAGAUGCUCAGGGACGCCGGCAUCGCCAAGGAGCCAGGCAGCAGCUGGAUCGAUGUGGCGGGCAAGGUGUACAGCUUCGUCGCCGGAGAAAACACGCUCCCUGAGAUGGACGGGGUGAGGAGGAUGUGGCGCAGCCUGGAGGAAAGGAUCCGCGAGAUCGGGUACGUUCCCGACACCACGGUCGUGCUGCACGAGCUCGAGGAGGAAGAGAAAGUGGAGGCGCUGCGGUGGCACAGCGAGAAGCAGGCCGUCGCGUUCGGGCUGCUGAGGAUGGCCGCGCCGGCGACGGUGAGGGUGUUCAAGAACAUCAGGAUGUGCAAGGAUUGCCACAAUGCCGCCAGGCUCAUCUCCAAGGUGACAGGGAGGGAGAUUGUGGUUCGGGACAAGAAGAGGUUCCAUCAUUUCAGGGAUGGUAUCUGCUCCUGUGGGGAUUACUGGUGA